GACGAACGCUGGCGGCGUGCUUAACACAUGCAAGUCGAACGGAAAGGCCCUGCUUUUGUGGGGUGCUCGAGUGGCGAACGGGUGAGUAACACGUGAGUAACCUGCCCUUGACUUUGGGAUAACUUCAGGAAACUGGGGCUAAUACCGGAUAGGAGCUCCUGCUGCAUGGUGGGGGUUGGAAAGUUUCGGCGGUUGGGGAUGGACUCGCGGCUUAUCGGCUUGUUGGUGGGGUAGUGGCUUACGAAGGCUUUGACGGGUAGCCGGCCUGAGAGGGUGACCGGCCACAUUGGGACUGAGAUACGGCCCAGACUCCUACGGGAGGCAGCAGUGGGGAAUAUUGCACAAUGGGCGGAAGCCUGAUGCAGCAACGCCGCGUGCGGGAUGACGGCCUUCGGGUUGUAAACCGCUUUCGCCUGUGACGAAGCGUGAGUGACGGUAAUGGGUAAAGAAGCACCGGCUAACUACGUG
rnacentral:rRNA from 1 species